CAGCAGCCGCGGGAAUACGUAGGGUGCGAGCGUUAAUCGGAAUUACUGGGCGUAAAGCGUGCGCAGGCGGUUUUGUAAGACAGAGGUGAAAUCCCCGGGCUCAACCUGGGAACUGCCUUUGUGACUGCAAGGCUAGAGUACGGCAGAGGGGGAUGGAAUUCCGCGUGUAGCAGUGAAAUGCGUAGAUAUGCGGAGGAACACCGAUGGCGAAGGCAAUCCCCUGGGCCUGUACUGACGCUCAUGCACGAAAGCGUGGGGAGCAAACAGGAUUAGAUACCCCUGUAGUCCCUGUCUCUUAUAC
rnacentral:rRNA from 1 species